UGCCCUGGCAAUGGACAAAGAGACACCUUGGUGGUGGUGUUCUUAGAUCAGUCAGAGGCAGAGAGAUGCCAGCCCUUUGUUCAUCCUAGUGUGAUGUCUGACUUGGUGGCCAAAAGUGAUUUAUGCCUAGGACUUAUAA
ensembl:snoRNA LOC120096796 small nucleolar RNA SNORA48